GCUUAGUAGUAAAUAGUAGUCAUUCAAUAAAUUGAAGGCAGUGUUCACUUAUUCAACAGUUAGCCAUUUCUGAGUUGGCUCUUGAUAAUUAUUUUUUAUUCUCUCACCCUUUUUUAGCAGAUGAGUGGCUGCAGACAGAAAAAUGGAAUUAACUUUGCAGGCUGCAAAGCAAAUCAGAGACAGAGUUGGACCGCCACUUGUCCAGUAACCCCACGUGUGCUUCCUCCUCCCCAUCACUGAAGAGCCUUGCUCUCUUCUAACUCACCCAGUCUUGGAGAGAAAAUAAUCAACUCCACUUGUUGGGCGUGACCCUCAUCCUCUGCUCACCUUGAGCCUCUCAAGUCUCUGCCGCUGUCUUCAAAAGUACUUUUCAGCAGCAGAGGCAUUGUUCUGGAGUAGUCUAUGAACUGUAAACAUAAUCUCAGUAUUCAACAGGCCAAUCACCUUGGGUGCAUACAGGAAAAUCUGGAGAGGAAAGAAAGUCAGCCACAUUGAUAUAUCAGCAAAUGUACAAAGCAUUUCUGAGUAAGUGCGACUUGCAGAAAGUCAGGGAGACCAAGAGAAGACAUGAACAAGAUUCUGAAGGGCCUUCAAAAUGCAGCACAGUCCCACUCCUAUGCCAUGGUUUCUGAUCGUCAGAUCCUCAAGCUGCCCAGGCUGCUGUGACGUUGUUUCUCAUUCUGAAGACUUCGCUUCCACUGCAGGACAAGCAGGAGAAAGAGCCGGCAGUGUGAGUCCACUGUAAUCCGGAUUCCUCUGCAGUGCUGCGUUCUUCUUGGAUUACUCAAAAAAGACUUCCA
rnacentral:lncRNA from 1 species